rnacentral:rRNA from 1 species
UGCAGUCGAGCGGAACGAGUUAUCUGAACCUUCGGGGAACGAUAACGGCGUCGAGCGGCGGACGGGUGAGUAAUGCCUGGGAAAUUGCCCUGAUGUGGGGGAUAACUAUUGGAAACGAUAGCUAAUACCGCAUAACGUCUACGGACCAAAGAGGGGGACCUUCGGGCCUCUCGCUUCAGGAUAUGCCCAGGUGGGAUUAGCUAGUUGGUGAGGUAAUGGCUCACCAAGGCGACGAUCCCUAGCUGGUCUGAGAGGAUGAUCAGCCACACUGGAACUGAGACACGGUCCAGACUCCUACGGGAGGCAGCAGUGGGGAAUAUUGCACAAUGGGCGCAAGCCUGAUGCAGCCAUGCCGCGUGUAUGAAGAAGGCCUUCGGGUUGUAAAGUACUUUCAGUCGUGAGGAAGGCGAUAUAGUUAAUAGCUAUAUCGUUUGACGUUAGCGACAGAAGAAGCACCGGCUAACUCCGUGCCAGCAGCCGCGGUAAUACGGAGGGUGCGAGCGUUAAUCGGAAUUACUGGGCGUAAAGCGCAUGCAGGUGGUUUGUUAAGUCAGAUGUGAAAGCCCGGGGCUCAACCUCGGAACCGCAUUUGAAACUGGCAGGCUAGAGUACUGUAGA